UGCAAGUCGAACGGCAGCACGGAGCUUGCUCUGGUGGCGAGUGGCGAACGGGUGAGUAAUAUAUCGGAACGUACCCUAGAGUGGGGGAUAACGUAGCGAAAGUUACGCUAAUACCGCAUACGAUCUAAGGAUGAAAGUGGGGGAUCGCAAGACCUCAUGCUCGUGGAGCGGCCGAUAUCUGAUUAGCUAGUUGGUAGGGUAAAAGCCUACCAAGGCAUCGAUCAGUAGCUGGUCUGAGAGGACGACCAGCCACACUGGAACUGAGACACGGUCCAGACUCCUACGGGAGGCAGCAGUGGGGAAUUUUGGACAAUGGGCGAAAGCCUGAUCCAGCAAUGCCGCGUGAGUGAAGAAGGCCUUCGGGUUGUAAAGCUCUCUUGUCAGGGAAGAAACGGUGAGAGCUAAUAUCUCUUGCUAAUGACGGUACCUGAAGAAUAAGCACCGGCUAACUACGUGCCAGCAGCCGCGGUAAUACGUAGGGUGCAAGCGCUAAUCGGAAUUACUGGGCGUAAAGCGUGCGCAGGCGGUUUUGUAAGUCUGAUGUGAAAUCCCCGGGCCCAACCUGGGAAUCGCAUUGGAGACUGCAAGGCUAGAAUCUGGCA
rnacentral:rRNA from 1 species